CAAGGAAGGGAUGAUUCAAAAAUACUUGGUAGUGGAUUUGUUACCAUCAGUUCAUUGAAAAAACAAAUGUGCUCUGGAAUAAAAUUCAAUGGCAAAUAUGUGACAAGCUGAACCUUUUAAAUCAUUUCACAUCUCAAGGUAGUGCUGAAAUCAUUUUUUCCGAAUAAGUACAAGUGCGUCAAUGAAAAAAUGAAUCCCGUGACCAACAUUGAAAAUGCUUGGGUUUCACCUUUUGCGGCGAAGAGAAAAAGGAUUGGAGAUGGACCAUCCACAACUGACGAAGUCCAUCCGAUCAAUGGGAAUCCCACAGAGGAGACUCCAAGAAGCAAGCCCUUGGGUCUGUACAAGAUAGUUCAUCUUAGGGAAUGGGAAUCCGAAUUCGAAGUGGCGACAAGAGGCACAGCAUGGACUUUUAAGCCAGGGGAUGAUUCGGAACAUGUGAUGGAUUCUGGCGAUGUUACAAUGGGUUAAGAAAAUAGGAAACCAAAUAAAACUAAGUUUGGCUUUGGUACAAAGACCUAACUUCAAGUUGAAAUACUAA